rnacentral:rRNA from 1 species
CAAUAGCGUAUAUUUAAGUUGUUGCAGUUAAAAGCUCGUAGUUGGAUUUUGGGCACGGCAGGCCGGUCCGCCGUUUCGGUGUGCACUGGCACGCGGUGUCUUUCUGUCGAGGACGUGGUCGGUAUUUAUUUGCUGGCCACGGAGUCGGCGAUGUUACUUUGAAAAAUUAGAGUGUUCAAAGCGGGCCUACGCUUGAAUAUAUUAGCAUGGAAUAACACCAUAGGACUCCUCGUCCUAUUCUGUUGGUCUUCGGGAUGGGAGUAAUGAUUAAGAGGAACAGUUGGGGGCAGUUCGUAUUUCAUUGUCAGAGGUGAAAUUCUUGGAUUUAUGAAAGACGAACUUCUGCGAAAGCAUUUGCCAAGGAUGUUUUCAUUAAUCAAGAACGAAAGUUGGGGGCUCGAAGACGAUUAGAUACCA